CGGGCGGAGCAUGCAGUCCUGCAUCCACCAGUUCACUCUGGAGGCUGCCUCUCGUGAUUGCUGUGUUUGGACUGUUCAAAUGUGACCUGAUACUUGGGGGUGCCAUCAGUGAGCAUUCUCUUAGUCUCGGAUUCCGUUGUCCCCUGAGAGUCUGAGGAGAUGGCUGCAGCAGCGGUGGCUGGACUGAUCCCUGUGUUGCACUCUGUGGCCGGUGACAAGUCUGGCUGCUACGUCGGGUGACAUCUGUGGUUUGGCUUCAUCGCCAUGUAUGGAAUGGUGUUGUACAUGGUCCGCAUGCCCUGGUCCUCCAUCCAUGAACAUUUCCAGUGCCAUGGCAACAUCACCUAUGCUUGUUUGACUGAGUGUUUUGAAAGAAGGUUUAGCAGUCCUGUAGUGGGAAUUUGGUACUUCUUUUUCUUUGUCUUCCUAUCCCUCUUCUUCCUCAUGGAAUUCUUCAUGGCUCAGAUUCGGCAUAAGCAGAUCAAGCUCAAGUCAGAGGAGUCGGUAGCAGGUCGGCGCCCAGGGUGUGCUUUUAUUCCUUCUCAUGUACCAACCACUGCCAAUGGUGAGCCACACCGUCAUUCACUGCAGCCCCGAGGCCUGCCCUGCACCCUUUAUCUGCCUCAUCAGGGCAGCAUGGAGAAACGAAUGGCCCUCUACACCCUCACCACCUUGUCCUUCAUGAUCAUCCUCUUCUGCUUGGGUUUCUUCAUGUACAGCAUUCAUCACUACCUGUUAAAGGGGCUUUCAAGUGCGAGGUUUUGGCUUGACUGACGUUUGGAAGUUCUUACUUAGAGUCUUCCUCCCUUGCACUGGGAAGUUAGUGUCUGGGGCAGGGCUUCCUCCUGCUAACCCUCUUUGCUUUCCUUUCAUAUAAUAAACAUUUAUUGUUCUUGUUUUCUCUCUCUACAGCCAGGAUAACAUUGUCUAACUGUGGGGUGGGUGGUACGCACUUGAUAAUAUUUCAGAGUUCUCUCACACGUGCUGUCUAAUUUGGU
rnacentral:lncRNA from 1 species